rnacentral:rRNA from 1 species
AUGUGGAUUUCAUAUGCUACCUCUCUGUCCGCAGGGGAUGCCGCUCGUUGGCUCGAAUCAGUUCACAGGCGUGUGCCACAGAUUAGUUGGGAAGAAUUUUGUCGCUUGUAUCAGUCUCGUUUUGGUCGCGAUUUGCAUCAAACGAUUCUGCAUAAAUUUUCAAACAUCUGCCAAACUAGUACAGUAGAAGAUUAUGUGGAACGCUUUUCAUAUCUCUAUGAUGAGCUAGCGGCAUAUGAAGAAUUUUCCAAUACAAUUCACUACGUGACCAGAUUUAUGGAAGGAUUAAAACCUCCAAUACGCCUUGCAAUGAGUAUUCAGCAACCAACAUACUUGGAUACAGCUUACCAGUUGGCCAUUUUGCAUGAAGAACUGGGGUUUGGCAGUGGUUCUAGCUCCUCUCUGGCUCCCUCACGUCGAACUAUUGCUCUACCACUUCCUCCCCCACCAAUUCCUGCACCUAUCAACAGGGUGUCUGAUGGGCGCCAUGUUACUGAACCUGUCAGACAAUCGAACUCCGAGGACAAGUGGGGAGCAUUGUGUGCGUACUGUAAUGUUGGAAUAUGCCCUAGAGGCAAUAAUGAAUUGGUUAUUAUCAUAUUUCCUUGUUCGUGA